GUGCUUUCCUACGCAUUUGACGCUAACGUGAUCCAUCCUGGAGGCUUCAUUUCUCUCUCUCUCUCACGCGCCGCCCUUGGAUUCUUCAACUAUAUAUACCGUAUUGCACCCCACUUCCUGUUCAAUCUUCAAUCCUUCAUUUUCUCUUUAAACUCAUAUCAUUUGUUUGAAGCUUUGUUCUAAAUUUUCAUUUCUUUUACCGAAUUUAUUGCUCGAUCGAAGAUGAAUUCAAUGUUGAGCGCUAAAUCGUGGAGUUUCUCCAUCAUCGGAUUUAUGCUGAUGGCGUUAAUCCGGUACAGUAACGGACAAGGAAUGGCGCCGUCGCCGGCACCGGCUGGUCCUUCCAACGACGGUGAGUAUAUUCGUUGGAAAUGUAUAUUUCUCUUUGUGAAACACGUGAUUUUACUCAUGAAAACUGUUCGAAAUUCUAGAUUUGUCGCAACAUCUUCUUCAUUUUCUAUUUCAGUUGUUAAAAUUGGGAGAAAUUGCUGAAUUGUUAAUUACAGUUUCUUUGUUUCUUUUUGAAAACUUGAAUUUUUUUCUUCCAAUUUCUUCCUCCUCUUCUGUUCAUCAUCAUCAUCAAGUGAGCAAGGAUUUACCAAUUAUUAACUGAAAAUUGAUUGAUUUAUUUGAUGCAGGCGCGGCAAUUGAUCAAGGGAUUGCAUAUGUUCUCCUAUUUGUAGCACUCGCGAUCACGUACUUAAUCCACUGAUGUUAGUAAUUAUUUUAAAAGUUUGAAAUUAUAUUAUUAGUGCGAUUAAUUCAAUUUUAUUUUUUUAAUGUAUUUUCUCCUAUUAUUGAGAGCAUAUAUUUGAAUUAUUUGCAUUUUCAAUUUUUCACCACUCUUUUAAAGAAACUAGUUUUAUCCCGUGCAAUGCACGGGUGUUGCUGAUUUCUGAAAGUAAUGUUAGUGCGUAAAUACGAGAUAGAUGUGAGUUUCUGAAAACUAAAGAGGGUACUUAAUUGAUAUACAAGUUAGUCGGACAAAAAAAAUCAAUAAACAAGAGGUAAAUGUAUGAAGAAAUAUUACAAAAUUUGUUUGCAUUUUUCAAGGGUCUAGUUGUACCAAAUAUGGUAGAGGCAACAAUGACUUCAUGGAAUUGUUCCAACUCCUUCAUAUCGGCACAUGAAUAUCAAACUCGGUACCAUCAUCUCGUUUGUGUCCCUUAGCAAAUGUGAAAAAGAAAAUGACUAAAACGUAAAGGAAUAUAAAUAAGAUAACAAAUUCAUAAAAUUACAAAAGGAGUAACAUCAAAUACUAAAAUUAGCUUAAAAUAAGCAGCUAAAACAACAAGAAAAAUGGAAAAAUGCAAACAUGACAAGCAAGGAAGAAUUUCAAGAACAGGAAAACAUUUUUAUUCAUUAACUUUCUUUUCUCAUUUAGAUAUACAGCCAAUAAAACUGAGAACAUAAUAGUGUAUUAAGCAGUUAAGAAGGUCACCCAAAAGAAGCGAAUUAUUAUGUUUCCAAGCAUAUGGUCUAUAAAUCUCCAUACAAUAUCGUUCAAUAGCUUCACAAUCCUCCAAUUUUCUAAGAUAGAAGUAAAUGCCCGAUAUUGUUUACAUCCUGAGAAAUAAUCAUUUCUCCUACAUUCUAACUGAGUAAUUAUAGCCAUCAAAUCUUCCAUAAUUAAAGGGUAUAAGAUAGUUAAAAAUAUCAAGUUAUUGCCUUCAUCAUUUAUCUUUAAGGUGAGAGAAUUAUCAUUUAUUUCACAUGAUAUGGUCUACCGACAUAAACAUGGGGCAUUAUAAUUAGAAAUGGCAGUAUGUUGCUAUUUAGAAAUCAAAAGUGCAGAAAUCAAACCAUGAGCACUUGAUAGAACAAACAAUCUUGGAAUCAUCUGUUUGCAAUUUCAGGGACAGAGAAUGGAGAAAGAAUGUAUACCAUGACUUUGUCAACUAGCUAUAAACUUACAAG
rnacentral:lncRNA from 1 species